rnacentral:rRNA from 1 species
GCCUACGGCCAUACCAUCCUGAAAGCGCCCGAUCUCGUCUUAUCUUGGCAGCUAAACAAGGGAGUGCCUGGUUAGUACCUGGAUGGGAGACCGCCUGGGAAUACCAGGUGUUAUAGGCU